ACCUUCUGUGGUGUAGUUGGUAGCACCUUGGCUUAGCAAUUGUAAAUCCCAGGUUCCAUUCCCGGUUGAGGUA